AUUGAACGCUGGCGGCAUGCCUUACACAUGCAAGUCGAACGGCAGCACGGGAGCAAUCCUGGUGGCGAGUGGCGAACGGGUGAGUAAAGUAUCGGAACGUGCCUAGUCGUGGGGGAUAACGUAGCGAAAGUUACGCUAAUACCGCAUACGAUCUAUGGAUGAAAGCGGGGGAUCGCAAGACCUCGCGCGAUUGGACCGGCCGAUAUCAGAUUAGGUAGUUGGUGGGGUAAAGGCUCACCAAGCCGACGAUCUGUAGCUGGUCUGAGAGGACGACCAGCCACACGGGGACUGAGACACGGCCCAGACUCCUACGGGAGGCGGCAGUGGGGAAUUUUGGACAACGGGCGAAAGCCUGAUCCAGCCAUGCCGCGUGCAGGAUGAAGGCCUUCGGGUUGUAAACUGCUUUUGUACGGAACGAAAAGGUUUGGGCUAAUAAGCUGAGCUCAUGACGGUACCGUAAGAAUAAGCACCGGCUAACUACGUGCCAGCCGCCGCCGUAA
rnacentral:rRNA from 1 species